AAUCUCAGCUAUAGCCUCGGGAAAUGAAGAGCUUUGGUAAUAAUACUUAAUAACAUUGACGAAAUCCGCCAUCGUUAAAAGGCCCGCAAACUUAUUCGCUUCACUGUCCCAUAAAGGAGCACUGACGAUAUCUAAGACGUGAUUAAUAAGUUGAUUUCACAUCUGUAAUGAAAAAUCUUUCGUACUGUUUAAUGUAAGAAGAGAAAGUGAUGUUUUUACAAAAAGCGUAACAUCGAACACGAUUAAACGGAAGGACGUAGGCAAAACAUCGUAACUUGUACGCG